rnacentral:rRNA from 1 species
CCAGACUCCUACGGGAGGCAGCAGUGGGGAAUAUUGCACAAUGGGGGAAACCCUGAUGCAGCGACGCCGCGUGAGCGAUGAAGUAUUUCGGUAUGUAAAGCUCUAUCAGCAGGGAAGAAAAUGACGGUACCUGACUAAGAAGCCCCGGCUAACUACGUGCCAGCAGCCGCGGUAAUACGUAGGGGGCAAGCGUUAUCCGGAUUUACUGGGUGUAAAGGGAGCGUAGACGGUCCUGCAAGCCAGAUGUGGAAGCCCGGGGCUCAACCCCGGGACUGCAUUUGGAACUGUAAGGCUAGAGUGUCGGAGAGGCAGGCGGAAUUCCUAGUGUAGCGGUGAAAUGCGUAGAUAUUAGGAGGAACACCAGUGGCGAAGGCGGCCUGCUGGACGAUGACUGACGUUGAGGCUCGAAAGCGUGGGGAGCAGACAGGAUUAGAUACCCCCGUAAAG